rnacentral:lncRNA from 1 species
UACCUAGUGAUUCUAUGUCUUUUACUACAUCAGAUGUAAACACCUAUGUAACAGAAGGCCACUGUUUUUUUCCAGGUUCGCAGCAGGUGGCGGGUGGAGCCCAGUGAGGGAGAGGUUCCACCCCAGGGGAAGCUGGAGCUGAGGCUGGUCCCUCACCUAGAUGACAAUCAAUCAAAUGCAUUUAUAAAGCCCUUUUUGCAUCAGCAGAUGUCACAAAGUGCUAUAGAGAAACCUGGCCUAAAACAGCAAGCAAUUUUUUUAUUAUCUUUAUUUAACUAGGCAAGUCAGUGAAGAACAAAUUCUUAUUUUCAAUGACGGCCUAGGAACAGUGGGUUAACUGCCUGUUCAGGGGUAGAACGACAGAUUUGUACCUUGUCAGCUCGGGGGUUUGAACUUGCAACCGCCCAGUUACUAGUCCAAUGCUCUAACCGCUAGGCUACGCUGCCGCUGCCGCAAUGCAGCUGUAGAAGCACGGUGGCAAAGAGAAACUCCCUAGAAAAGGCAGGAACCUAGGAAGAAACCUAGAGAGGAACCAGACUCUGAGGGGUGGCCAGUCUUCUUCUUCUCUUCUGUGCCUGGUGGAGAUUUUAAGAGAAUAUCUGAGCAUUUAAGGCCAGAUUGUUCUUCAAGAUUUUUGAAACGUUAGAUAACCAGCAGGGUCAAAUAAUAACCAUAGUGGUUGUAGAGGGUGCACUUCCAGGACAAGCUGUACCUCUCCAUCCAGGAUAAUGAAACACACCAUCCUUCUCUCUGCCAAUGGCAAGGGCACUACCAUUGUCACCAACCGUCCUUUUGUCCCCAGUCUGGACCUGGGGGCACAUUUCAGCUCUGGUCCAUAUCAGUACUGUUUUAGAGUGACCAACUGAGGUCAGCCCUCCCACCAGCUUUACUGGAACACAGAGGGGUACCCCCAGAGCCCCCCCCCCCCCCCCCGCCCACCAACACAACCAGGGAGGAAAAGAGUUGCAACUCCCUGGUUCCCCCAGCAGUAGAUGGGCCGUUCUUCAGACUGCAUCCCAAACGCA